CCCAUGCAUUUCAUUUCAUUUUCAAUGUAUUUAUUUAUAGUCUGUCAUCCUAUGUGAUAAUGUAUCAGACAGUAGUGUUAGACCUAUACCAGCAGCCAAAGUUAAACAUACUAACUCAUGACUGCAUUUCUUUUUUUUUCCACUAAUAUGUUUAUUGGGUUUUCUUAUUUUCACAAACACAAUAAAAAAACAAAACAACAACAAACACUGGUACAGCUCAGAUAAAAAAAAUUUAUAUAGGAGGUCAUAGGAAAUAGUCCAUAGUGCAGGGAAGUCACAGGAUAUAUAAAUUCAAGAGACUCCUUGUGAGAUAAUAGAAGAGAGUUCAGGUCCAAUAUAAUUCAGAUAGGGCUGCCAAAUAUUGUGGAACUGAUCAACUUUGGCAUGUAGAAUAUUUGUGAGAUAUUCCAAAGGGACCAUCUCAAAUAUCACUUUUCGCCAGCCUUGGACUGCAUUUCUGAGAUAAGUUAUUAAUUUACCGCAGCCUGGCUCUAUACUGAACACAUAUCCUUUGGUGUCAUCAUUCCUUAGAUCUUAUUGGACAGUAAGAAGUACCAGUGUAAGACGACAGUGGGCUAUAUUGACAUCAUUAUUGCUGUAUAUCCUGUGCACUAACAAGUCCAAGAGCACAUUAUGCCAUCCGACAAGGACUCGAGGAUAUCGCUCGAGUCUACAAAACUCCAGAAUUCUGCUGCAGGAUCCAGUGGAAUGAUUGCAUCGAGUCUAAAAGAAAUUCUGGAAUUCUGGAAUUCUGGAAUGGAAUUCUGCUGGGAGGAAAAAGAGCUACAAUGUCAAAUAGUAUAUCAGCAGCAGCAGCAGCAGCAGGGAGAGAGAGACUGAGAGCACAUCGAUGGGUAGGGUACCCUCUGGGGUGCGGAUAUCAAAUGAGGCAACCCGGUCAGACACACGCCCGCUGAAAACAGAGACGCGAGAUGACAAGACACAAGUUCCACAGAGGUUUUGCUCCACAGAAAGAGGAGAUUUCAUUCAGACACUACAUGCAGCUCCUGCUCUGCUCGUCUCAGGGUGCCCAAGGAAGGACUGAUCUCCGGACCGGUGCGUUUUACGCACACAUCCUUUCCCGGAAUACACCCUGCUUAAAGCGGAUCAGCUGUUGCCGGGCCCAAGCUGAAGGUGACUUGUUGGCUGGGCCAGGGGCUGCAACACAGGACAUGGGUCCAGCUUCUCCUCCCCGCUCGUGUCUUGUGUUGCAGCCAGUGGAGCAGCCUGUCUGCCGCUCCGUCUGCCCACCGCUGAUGGACUGAGCUCCCAGAACAGAUGGAUCCCACUAACCACGGACCUGCCGACCCUGCUCCUCACUUUACCGUUUGCUUGUGUACCUUAUUACCGUCAUUCUAGGUGUAUUUUUCAAAAUCAACAUCCUCUUUCACAGUUUAAAGGCAAUAAAGUUAGGGAUGACUCCUCUUGGUCGAUUAGUCGACAUAUUGGUUGUUUUGGUCGUAGUUGACUAAGAUUUUUUUAGUCAAUUAGUCGUAUUUUAUGCUUUUUGCAUGCUGAAUGACUUAUUUCCAAAAAACGUAUAUGUGCACAUCUCUGGUAAACACAUGAUUUAAAGGGACUCAAUAUAAAAAUCUGAAAUUGCUUGUUAACAGUCACACUUGUGGCCGUAAAGGCAACGACAGUCAGCAUCCUGUUGCUCGCGCUUGUGCUCGCCCUACGCAGAUGCGAGCGAGCAUCGGUCAAAACAGUCAGGCGACACACACGAGACUGAACGUGAUUGACAGCUAAAACCCCAAUAUCACUAUAUAUUUCACAUGCUUGGCAGUAAUGUUAUCUUACCUAUCCAAUAGGAAUUUUGCCAGCUUGGGGUCUGUUUUGAUACCUAAAACCGAACGAAGGUCCCUCCAUGAACCGAAUCCCCGGCCGAUGUUGAUCCUAGUUUGAGGGUCUCAUUUUUUAAGUUAGGUCACAACCUGUUCACACAUUUGCAAUAAAAAAAAUGUAUACGUGUAAGAAGUUAUAAACAGUCCCUUUAAAGUGGUGCUUUUGUGAUAUUUUUUGUGGAGAAACUCAGUUUUAUAGAUCUGUCGAUUAUCAAGUAAUUCAUUAGUCAACAAAGUUGUAUGAGCGAUAGUCGACUAAAAAUUUCAGCCUUAAAUAAAGUACUUCAGAGAAAAA